rnacentral:rRNA from 1 species
UNUGCUGUGAAAGGCUGGGGCUUAACCCUGGUUUUGCAGUGGGUACGGGCUAACUAGAGUGCAGUAGGGGAGACUGGAAUUCCUGGUGUAGCGGUGGAAUGCGCAGAUAUCAGGAGGAACACCGUUGGCGAAGGCAGGUCUNUGGGCUGUAACUGACGCUGAGAAGCGAAAGCAUGGGGAGCGAACAGGAUUAGAUACCCUGGUAGUCCAUGCCGUAAACGUUGGGCACUAGGUGUGGGGGACAUUCCACGUUUUCCGCGCCGUAGCUAACGCAUUAAGUGCCCCGCCUGGGGAGUACGGCCGCAAGGCUAAAACUCAAAGAAAUUGACGGGGGCCCGCACAAGCGGCGGAGCAUGCGGAUUAAUUCGAUGCAACGCGAAGAACCUUACCAAGGCUUGACAUAUACUGGACUGCGUCAGAGAUGGCGUUUCCCUUCGGGGCUGGUAUACAGGUGGUGCAUGGUUGUCGUCAGCUCGUGUCGUGAGAUGUUGGGUUAAGUCCCGCAACGAGCGCAACCCUCGUUCUAUGUUGCCAGCACGUGAUGGUGGGGACUCAUAGGAGACUGCCGGGGUCAACUCGGAGGAAGGUGGGGAUGACGUCAAAUCAUCAUGCCCCUUAUGUCUUGGGCUUCACGCAUGCUACAAUGGCCGGUACAGAGGGUUGCGAUACUGUGAGGUGGAGCUAAUCCCUAAAAGCCGGUCUCAGUUCGGAUUGGGGUCUGCAACUCGACCCCAUGAAGUCGGAGUCGCUAGUAAUCGCAGAUCAGCAACGCUGCGGUGAAUACGUUCCCGGGCCUUGUACACACCGCCCGUCAAGUCACGAAAGUUGGUAACACCCGAAGCCGGUGGNCUAACCCUGGUGGGGGGAGCCGUCGA